rnacentral:rRNA from 1 species
GAUGAACGCUGGCGGCGUGCCUAAUACAUGCAAGUCGAGCGCUGGCACUUGAAACUUGUGCCGAUUGGAUUAGCGGCGGACGGGUGAGUAACGCGUGGAUAAUCUGCCUUUAAGCGGGGGACAACAUCGGGAAACGAAUGCUAAUACCGCAUAAUAACUUUAACCACAAGGUUCAAGUGUGAAAGAUGCACUUGCAUCACUCAAAAGUGGUCCCGCGUUGGCUUAGGUAGGUGGGGAGGGAAACGCCCACCCAAGCGAACGAACAUUGGCGGACCGGAGAGGUGGAUCGGCACCACUGGAACGGAGACACGGCCCAGACUCCUACGGGAGGCGGAGUAGGGGAAUUUUGGGCAAUGGGCGAAGGCCUGACGAAGAAAGGCGGCGUGGGUGAGGAGGGUUUUGGGUUGUAAAACCCCGUUUGUUGGGAAGGAAGAUGGGUAGAGUGAAAAGCUCAUCUAGUGACGGUACCUAACCAGAAAGCGACGGCUAACUACGUG